AGCGCAGGCGGCCAGGUUAGUCUGAAGUGAAAGCCCGGGGCUCAACCUCGGAAUUGCUUUGGAUACUGCCUGGCUUGAGUACGUCAGAGGCGAGUGGAAUUCCAGGUGUAGCGGUGAAAUGCGUAGAUACCUGGAGGAACAUCGGUGGCGAAAGCGGCUCGCUAGGACGAAACUGACGCUGAGGCUCGAAAGCGGUGGGGAGCGAACG
rnacentral:rRNA from 1 species